UAUCAGCAAGGUCUUUAUGACCUGCAUCUUGUGUUGACCUCCUAUCUCACCCUGUGACUCAGAAUGCCUUAACCAUCUGGGGAUGCAGCCCAGUAAGUCUCAGCCUCAUUUUACCUGGCCCCUACUCAAGAUGGGGUUGCUCUGGUUCAAACGCCUCUGACAGGGUGACAACUGUGACCACAACAGAUUCACAAACAUGACAUUUUCAGAGAGAGGAAGCCUCCCCUGCUCUUAGUCUAUGUGAUUCGGACACAGCCAACUACAUUUCCCAGAUCCAGAAAUGAACACGCCAUUCCAAGUAAAGCCAAUGAGAGACAGCUGCAGGACUUUUGCUGGAACUAUUGGGAAAGUGGUGUUUCUUUUUCUGCUAUGGUUACUUAUCUGCUAUGCUCUAAGCCUGGAACUGCUGGAGGUCAUCUUUGCUGCAUGAAAAUGAAGUCAAUAUUGAGGACAGCAGAGGUGGUUGUGCUCACCCCGCAUCAAGGUUGCUAAGCUGCUGUGAUGGAAUCCUGGAGCUGCUGAAGGACACCUCAUCUCUUUGUGGGAAGCAUCUGCUUGAGGAUUAAGGGAAUGCAGAAAAAAAGUGGAGUAGAGAGAUGGAGGAAGAUGACUUUCGAGGACAUUGUGUGAGCACCUGGAUCUAACUGUGCCUGAAGCAAAACUCAAACCCUGGACUCUCAAUGUAUUGGCUCUCAGUUCCAAGACCCAAUAAAUUCCUUCUUAGCUUAGAAUGCUUUGCUCAGAUGUCUGUUACUUCCAGCCAAAUGUGUUUUAAUACAGAAAGCUCUUGGGGGCUCAAAUAACAGAAAGGGAAGCUAUAUGAGAAGCUGAGG
rnacentral:lncRNA from 1 species